AGUGAACGCUGGCGGUAGGCCUAACACAUGCAAGUCGAACGGCAGCACAGUAAGAGCUUGCUCUUACGGGUGGCGAGUGGCGGACGGGUGAGGAAUACAUCGGAAUCUACUUUUUCGUGGGGGAUAACGUAGGGAAACUUACGCUAAUACCGCAUACGACCUACGGGUGAAAUCAGGGGAUCUUCGGACCUUGCGCGAUUGAAUGAGCCGAUGUCGCAUUAGCUAGUUGGCGGGGUAAAGGCCCACCAAGGCGACGAUCCGUAGCUGGUCUGAGAGGAUGAUCAGCCACACUGGAACUGAGACACGGUCCAGACUCCUACGGGAGGCAGCAGUGGGGAAUAUUGGACAAUGGGCGCAAGCCUGAUCCAGCCAUACCGCGUGGGUGAAGAAGGCCUUCGGGUUGUAAAGCCCUUUUGUUGGGAAAGAAAAUCAGCAGGUUAAUACCCCGCUGUUCUGACGGUACCCAAAGAAUAAGCACCGGCUAACUUCGUG
rnacentral:rRNA from 1 species